CACGUAGGGGGCGAGCGUUGUCCGGAAUCAUUGGGCGUAAAGAGCUCGUAGGCGGCUCAGUAAGUCGGGUGUGAAACCCCCAGGCUCAACCUGGGGACGCCACCCGAUACUGCUGUGGCUAGAGUCCAGUAGGGGAGUGUGGAAUUCCCGGUGUAGCGGCGAAAUGCGCAGAUAUCGGGAGGAACACCAGCGGCGAAGGCGGCACUCUGGGCUGGAACUGACGCUGAGGAGCGAAAGCUAGGGGAGCGAACGGG
rnacentral:rRNA from 1 species